GGGCGCUUAGUUCAGGGGAAGAACGCCACCUUGACACGGUGGAGGUCGGAGGUUCAAGUCCUCCAGCGCCCACCA
rnacentral:tRNA from 2 species